GAAGCUGUUUGCAAAAUAGUCAGUGUUGCCAGUUAUCACGUUUUAAGCUGAAGCGUAUUUCCCAUUUACGAAAAAGUUUAAUCGGACUGCUGUGGUUAUCGGGUGUUCGUCGCCUUCAGAGAAGGUCUUCAAUUUAUCGGUUAAAGGGAAGUUGUCCACCAUCACAAGGCCAAUUUUACAUCAGCAAUUACAACGUGGUCAGUGUCGUUUAAAUCGAAAUUCAAGUGCAAUUGAAGAAGUUUUUUGAAAAUCUAUCUCUUGUUGCGUGGACUGAAUGAGCACUAGGAGGGAAACCUUUGGAAUCCAACCUAACCAACUUACCGCAUCUACACCAUCGAAGCAUCAAAGCGAAAGGAAUUCCAUUGACUAAUAACGGUUUAAAAGUAACGGUCGCGCAGCCGGUGUAACUUUAGUAAUUCGACGACUCGGUUUUACGAUUUUAAAGUGUUUUUAAGGUUUUACGGGGCAAGAAUUUGAAUCUACGUUAAUUUAAAAGAAAGACGAAUAAUAAAAUUUAAUCAACUUGCUUUAUUCGGUUAUUUGGAUAAGGGUAGAUUACGAUUCGGCCAUUUCAUAAUCUUGCGGACUGUAUGAAAAUGAAAGAGCCGACUCAAACCUCUAUUAUAAAUAUAUGAAAUUACGUGGCUGAUGUGAUUUAAUCGAGGUUGCGUUGCGAACGCGGAUGAAGAAAGUAACGUCAAAAGUAAUGCAUUUGCAAAAUGAAUGCGCGUGAACUUCUUAAUAAAAAGGUCGACAUAAAUAGUAAUUUCGUGUAAUAAAGAGCGUGACCGUUUGAGAGAUUAGAAAACGCA